rnacentral:lncRNA from 1 species
GAGAAGCUUCCCCAAAAUCCAUGAGUAACAAAGCAUAAGACCACAUGCAUAUAUGUGAUUCAUCUAAUCUUUUAAAAAUUAGAUAUGCAAUUACACAUCGAAACACUUGUAGAUCACCAUGAUUAGAACCCCCAGCAAUAUGUUGAAGUUAACCAAAUAUGAAACAACUCCUUUCUAUGGCAAGUUUAACAUUCGAUGUGGAUUGCAGUCAGAACACAAGACAAACAUUUGGGCAAGGUGGAACUGCAUCUUAUGAAGUUAGACAUAGUUUAUGUGUGUAUUCACAAGACAAACACACAUAAAUACAUAUGCUAUGUGUGAAUGAAUGUACUCAAAGAGAAAAGAAAUCAGAAAUAAUGAUCACAGGUUAUACGUCUUGCAUUAAACUUGCCAACAUUUUGGAAUUUCAUAUUCAUUUCAGUAUCAUACAAUAUAUUUGUACAACAUAAAAACGAUGCAUAGGUAACUUAUCCAGAAAAAUAACAUAUAAAUGGCACACCAACAGUGGUGAUGCAUAACAUAUAUAUUAAAUAUUUGACUCAAAAGAGUGGAAUGGUAGCCUUGUUUCUUGUAAUGGCUAUAUUUUUUUAAAUUUCAAAAAUGCUAGGCCACCAAGGCCAAUAUAAUGGACACAAUGAUCAAUUACAAUGGUCAGGACCAGUGCUUGCUCAUGCUAAUACAUAUCAGCAUGCUGAUACAUUUCGCGACAUGCAACAACAAAGCUCUUCAUUACAGAAAACGUUUUUUCAUGGUCACUUGUAAGCCAUAUUGAGCUGCUUCAUCUAAUAUAACACUCCACAAACAUCAAAUUGCUUCACAGAAUGAACUGUACACUCCUGCUGCUUGUUUUGUUCAUCAUACCCAACAAAAAAACACAUCUUCAUUUUCAAAUCUUUCUUUCUUUUUUUCCUUUUUUUUUUUUGGUGUGUGGGUGGGUGGGGGGGAAUUAACUUUGAAUCAUUGCUUGUGGAUCAAACAUAGAAGUACGUGUAAGAGUAUAGUUGCAUCGUGAGGGAGCAUGGCUGAGAGAGGGGCUAGGGCGAGUGCGAUGGAUCAACACAUGACAGAACCUCCCCAGGUAGGGAGCACAUUCCAUAAUUUUUAAUUUAUAAAUAUAACUUUUUAAAAAUAGAAAUUUUAUUAAAAACAAAAAACUAAUAAUCCAACAGAAUGCGAUAAAAAAAGGGCACAAAGAAAAACGCAAUUAUUUAUGAAUUUGAUUUUAUUCAAUUAAUAAACAACUUUUAAAUUUCAUUUGAGAUGUAAUUAAUGUAACAAUAAUCUCAUAAUAUAGAACAAAAAAGCCAGUAACAACACAAGGAAUCUAAUUUUAUAUUGAUAAAAAUCUGCUUCAUUUAUAAUUUUACACUUGCACAGCAUCCAAAAGCAUAACAAGUUGCUUUAUUUGCAGUUUUACACUUUACAACAUCCAAAACCACGAGAGAGAAAGAGAGAGUUUGAUAGAAUCUAAGAUCCACAUGAAUGAUCUUCUUAGCCUCUUGUUGCCCCAUCGGUUGGCUAAGACUGAGCCCUAAACACUGGGGAUCCAAAUGCCAUGGAGAUCCCUAAUUGAGUACUGGAGCAGGACCAGAGAGCAGGAUCGAUACCUAAGUUUGGAGAUCCUGGUAAAUGUCUAAGAAACAAAAUAGGAGGGAACGUACAGCCACAACUAAUAUAGCUAAAGAAGAUAUAACAGAAUUGGUUGCUUCCAGUAUGGGGUCUUAAACAACAAAAAUGCCACCCAAUAUAAUUUGGAGAAACUUAAUCAUAAUAUGCACUGCAAUAACGAUCCAUCCCAAUAAUAAUUAUGGGUUGCUGCAUGACUCAGGUUGUAAACAUCAUAUUCCUUUUUUGUAAAUUCUGUAUGCAUAUUUCCUCAUGUUUUUUGCACAUAUAUAUCAUUAUACUUACUACAUUUAGUAGUCAAAUGGACACAUCAAGCAAAAGUUCCUGAUAUUUUAAGUCAUAAUGUACUCUGCCCAUGAAAUGCAUUUGUAUGCUUAAAAGCUAACUCAUUCUACACAAGCUUCCAUGAAAAUAUGAGGAAAUGCAGAAUUCUCCAGCAAAAAGUAGAUUGAUAUUAUCAACCCAUAGCUCAACCAAAUGGUGCUUGUUCCCACAACCUCAAGGUUGUGUUUUUGAAGCAAGCUAAUUAAAGAAAAUAAAAACAGAUAGUGCUAUAGGUCAUCCAAAAAAGGUAGAAAUAAAGAAUUAUCACGAAGACAUUAAAUCACAAAUAAUCAAUUGCUCGAAUCAUGCUAAUUUAUUUUGUACGUUUGUCCCAAAUAUGGGACAAAUUGCUGUAGAUAUUAUGGCCAAACUCAGUCUCGAAGUACCACAAAUUAGAAGCAUUUUAACACUAACAUAUCCCAUUCUUCUAAUGGUGUUUCAAAAUUCCUAAUGCACAGGGGUGUAAGUCAUCUUAAUUCCUAAAUGUGUGCCUUCAGCUUGCAGUAAAUUUCAGUUCCUCCGAGCUGCUACAGUUGACCAUAUGUUUGUCUUUGACUUGCAUUAGACCCAAUCAUUUCACACACUAUUUCAAUUAGUUAAUUCUGUAAUAUUUCCACAACUCAACUUUUUUAAGCCACAAAACUUUCAUGGCCACCAUAUUGUGCUACAUUACCAACUGCAAGUCCUUCCUCAAUAUUCUUUUCUUCAAUAUUGCUUAUGUCUGCCAGAUUACUUCUUCUCAAGUUCACAUGAAGCAAUUCUUCCUCAAUAUUCACACUCACAGUUGACUUCCUAACUUCUAAAAAUACAUAAUAUAGAUAUUUCUCAUAACAAUUUAUUGUAAGAUUAAUCUUCAAAGAAGUCAAAUAAUAAAAGAAGAGUUGUAGAUAUAGUUCAGGACAGUAUCACAUAAGACUCAACGUUUAGGUAGGCCCAAAAAUUAUUUAAUCUGUAGGAUGGAGUUUCGUGCAUUCACUUUUAGUUAUGUUCCAAAUGUUCAAACAAGUAUGACUUCCAACCUCUUCUCAUAGUUAAGAGAUAAUAUUCCCCGGAAGAUGUAUAUGGAACCUGUACAAUAACUCCCUGGAAUUCUUUACAUCCACUCUUAAGACCAAAACCAUAUCAGCAAGGCAAUGCCCACUACCAUAGUACCAUGUACUGAUCUUGCAUUAUACAUAUCAACAAAAGCCAUCACAUGUGUUUAAAUGACAAAUAAUUCUUCAAAAUUGUAGAUCUCACAAAAAAUAAGUAUUUAAUGAAACCCAUUUACUCAAACAUGCUAAUGACAAACUUUAAGUGUUUCCAUCUACUGAUAACCAUGACAAACUUUAAGUGUUUCCAUCUAAUGAUAACCAGGUUUAUUGUAUGCAAAACACCACAAAGAAACAUGGGAGAAAAUUAAAAUCAAACUGCAAACAUUGGAUACUGAAUCCAAAAAAUUAGGACAAACUUCAAACCACCUAUUAUUUCAUGUGAGCCAAAACAAAAAAAAUUAAACAUACUGGAAGUCAAGUAGAGAAAUAUCUUCAACAUAAUUCAAAUUUAGUAGUCCACAAAUUUCAUCUCAAGGAUCAUCAUCAGGUAGGUGCUAUGAGAUUAUUCAGAAAAAAAAAAAAGAGAGAGAGAAAAGAGAUAAAAAUCAAUAACUCAAAAGCAAUAAAAUUCAAAGGCAUCAAACCAAACAAUCCCACAGUGUUUCACCGAAAGCAAGGGGAAACCAAAUAUAAAACUAUCAAGAACUACAGUUUCCACAAAUGACAAAGAACUUAACUGUACACCAAGGCCCGAUCUAAACACUAGUAAACCAAACCAUAGACAACAAAACCAGAUUUCAAACAUGGGGAAAGCGAUUCACAAAAUCAAAAAACACAGGAAACUAACUCCAACAAAUAAGAAUACAUCUCAAAACCGCAACAAAACAAUACCAAGCAAUAGAAACUGUUAAUUCCGCUAAAUGAAUAGAAAACUUCCACAAAACAAGCUACAAGAGAUAGCCAAAACAGAGGAUCAGCUACAGAAGAUAGCCAAAACAGAGGAUAAUAAAGAUCUCAAAAGAGCUAAAGAGGAGUAAGAUUAAGUGUAGAUAGCAGAGGCGGAGUGUAGAUAGCAGAGGCGGCCAACCUUAGGUUGCAGAAACGCUAUUAAGCAAAACCCUAAAAAUCUAGAAGAC